UACGUAGGGUGCGAGCGUUAAUCGGAAUUACUGGGCGUAAAGCGUGCGCAGGCGGUUCGUUGUGUCGGCGGUGAAAGCCCCGGGCUCAACCUGGGAAUGGCCGUUGAAACUGGCGAACUGGAGUGUGGCAGAGGGGGGUGGAAUUCCGCGUGUAGCAGUGAAAUGCGUAGAGAUGUGGAGGAACACCAGUGGCGAAGGCGACUUUCUGGCCUAUAACUGACGCUGAGGCGCGAAAGCGUGGGGAGCAAACAGG
rnacentral:rRNA from 1 species